ACGGGCUAAAGUUUUCCUAAAUAAUCCAAGGUGAAUCCAGUAUCUUAAUGGAUAUCCUAAUGGAGCGAUACACUCUCCUAUUCGAACAAAACCGAAAAUAUGCCGCCGAAUCUCCUAUCUUCAACCCUAACAUUCACCCAGUCAAGCUUGCCAUUUCUCCAUUUGAAACGAAUAUGAGCGGCCAUGAUUCCAGCUCAAUCAUCUGAAUCGACUCAAGCUUGCAAUAUCAACGCCGAUAAUUAAAUCGCAGCAACAAGGAGCGUCUAUGGUUCACGUCUUCUUAUGGUUCUACGGAUUACAUUGCAGAUCGUGACUCAGAGUAGCGUCACAUUUGGAAUUCAACAUCCUCUCAUCUCAGAAAAUUAAAACAAGACUCAAGCAGAAGUUGACUAUGCUUGAGGUUCAAUUAUCGGGAUUUAUCGUCUUCAACGCAUCGAAACAGAAACGAAAUCGAGACAAAAACUAAAAUGGAGCAAGGGAAGAACUCACCGGUUUGAAGUGAUUUCGACGCGGUUGCUCCGUCGAUGAUAAUGAACUGAAAAGGAUGGGCUUGAAUCAGGUUAUAACUCCUCUUCUCUUUGUCGCACCUAAACUCCGCCGCUAAAUCCAACUCGGAGCUCGAAUGCACUCGUCGAUGCGUAGGAUUCCGGAAUCAUUCGCUCCUCAUCAAAGCUCCAUGGUUCGGCCAAGAUUUACAAAGCUCUGAGGCUCAGUUAGAAACUCUGAUAGAUAACAGGUAUGAUUUCCCUUCUUCUUAUUCAACUCUUCAACUCUUCUGCGUUUUGAUUACUUCUGUGUCGCAUUGUGGAAUUCUGCAGAUAGAGGUUGCAGAAUCAAGGUGAAGGUUGUGCAAAACCGAAUGGUUGGAGAAGAGGUGGAGAUGGAGGUUUGAAGGUGUGUAACAGAAUGAAGGUGGUGGAGAUUGAAGAUGGAAACGAGAUCGUGGAGGUUUUUGCAAAAAUGGAAGUUUUGAUGCAGUAGAGAAAAUCCAACGCCCCAGAAGCAUACAGGUCAUUCCAUGGUUUCUUUUCUCUAGUUUUAUGAGGAGCGCAGCAAGAUUGUGAUCGGGAUAAAGUGUGACGGCGUCAGGCUCAUCAGCCAGGACAUAUGCAACCCUAGCAAUAGUCUUCACAAGCCCUUCGAGAAAUGGUUUCACCGAAGUUCUUGAUAGCAGAAACCUCCCUUUUUUUAUAUAACAGGUGGAUGCAAUGGUUCAUGUGUGUAGGUUGGAUCUAAUGGACGUUGUACUGUAUUAAUGAAUAAUGGUUAUAAAUAUUUGAAAUUCAUAUUGGUUGUUAAAUGGAUACUUAUUAUGUUGAUUGGUUA